rnacentral:tRNA from 1 species
GAAAAGGUGGCUGAGAGGUUGAAAGCGAUAAUUUGCUAAAGCUGAGAGGUUGAAAGCGAUAAUUUGCUAAAUUAUUAUACUAUAGAUGAUAAAGUUAAUUAGUAUCAUAGGUUCGAAUCCUAUCCUUUUCA